rnacentral:rRNA from 1 species
CCUACGGGAGGCAGCAGUGGGGAAUAUUGCACAAUGGAGGGAACUCUGAUGCAGCGACGCCGCGUGAGUGAAGAAGUAAUUCGUUAUGUAAAGCUCUAUCAGCAGGGAAGAAAGUGACGGUACCUGAAACAGAAGCUCCGGCUAAAUACGUGACAGCAGCCUCGGUAAUACGUCUGGAGCAAGCGUUAUCCGGAUUUACUGGGGGUAAGGGGAGAGUAGGUGGCAGAGCAAGUCCGAAGUGAAAACCAAAGGCUAAACUCUGGGAAUGCCUUAGAUACUGCUCAGCUAGAGUGCAGGAGAGGCAGGUGGAAUGUUUAGUGUAGCGGUGAAAUGCGUAGAGAUUAGGAGGAACACCAGUGGCGAAGGCGGCUUGCUGGACUGUAACUGACACUGAGGCUCGAAAGCGUGGGGAGCAAACAGGAUUAGAUACCCUUGUAGUC